UACGAAGGGGGCGAGCGUUGUUCGGAAUUACUGGGCGUAAAGGGCGCGUUAGGCGGCGAUCCGAGUCAGAUGUGAAAGUCCUGGGCUUAACCUGGGGAUUGCAUUUGAUACUGGAUUGCUUGAAUGCAGGAGAGGAUAGCGGAAUUCCCAGUGUAGAGGUGAAAUUCGUAGAUAUUGGGAAGAACACCGGUGGCGAAGGCGGCAAUCUGGACU
rnacentral:rRNA from 1 species